UUUCACUGUCAAUUGCUGUCCUUUAUAGGGAGCAGAGACACAAGGACACUCCACCAAAGACUCGUAGAAAUUGUUAACUUGUGACAGACUACAAUGUCUAAAGAACUACAGUUGAGCCACGAUGGACAGAGCGAAAGUGAUGAAGACUCUGAUAGACCUGAUACCAGACAUUAUAACCAUGGACAUGAAGAAAUUAUGUAUGAAAAUGAAUACUGUGAAACACCCACUAACUUCCAAGAAGAUUAUACAAAAAAUG